UACGAAGGGGGCGAGCGUUGUUCGGAUUUACUGGGCGUAAAGGGCGCGUAGGCGGCGGACCAAGUCGAGUGUGAAAGCCCCGGGCUCAACCUGGGAGGUGCGCUCGAGACUGGGCCGCUGGAGUUCGGGAGAGGAGAGUGGAAUUCCCAGUGUAGAGGUGAAAUUCGUAGAUAUUGGGAAGAACACCGGUGGCGAAGGCGGCUCUCUGGACCGAGACUGACGCUGAGGCGCGAAAGCGUGGGGAGCAAACAGG
rnacentral:rRNA from 1 species